rnacentral:lncRNA from 1 species
GACAAAGAAGGACAGCUGCAGCAGCCAACAUACAAGUCUGCCAAUAUUUUGUACAAAUAGAAGUAGAUGGUUUGUUGCAGCACAGAAAGUUUGUUGUGCACAUGUGGACUGAUGCCAAUGGAACCAAUGGAAUGUCUCUGGGUACACAUUCACUGGGACUGAGGUGAAACAGAGAGAUCUGGCUGGCUCUGUAUGGCUCAACAAACUCAAUCCUGGAGAGUAAGGCUGCUUAUGAAGACAGAAGUUCUGGCUUCUCUGAACUUAAGAAAAUUAAGGUUCUGACAGUAGAAAACCCCAAGUGUUUCCUCACUGCUGUAAUCCACUACAUGAAGACAGGAAUUGCCCAGCACAUGUGUUCAGAACAGAACCCAGAUCUACAGUACUAACUCUGUGGUCUUCACUCUGCAUUUUCUUUUAAUGUAAUUCUGUUUACAAGCAAUAGUGCUACCAAGCUGAAAUCCUCUAUUUUGAGGAAAAAAAAUGUUGGUGCAAGAUUUUGAUCUGAAACACCAUUUAUGUAUAUCA